GAUGAACGCUAGCUACAGGCUUAACACAUGCAAGUCGAGGGGAAACGAUAGAGAAAGCUUGCUUUUUCUAGGCGUCGACCGGCGCACGGGUGAGUAACGCGUAUCCAACCUGCCCACCACUUGGGGAUAACCUUGCGAAAGUAAGACUAAUACCCAAUGACGUCUCUAGAAGACAUCUGAAAGGGAUUAAAGAUUUAUCGGUGAUGGAUGGGGAUGCGUCUGAUUAGCUUGUUGGCGGGGUAACGGCCCACCAAGGCGAUGAUCAGUAGCCGGUCUGAGAGGAAGGUCCCCCCACAUUGGAACUGAGACACGGUCCAAAACUCCUACGGGAGGCAGCAGUGAGGAAUAUUGGUCAAUGGGCGAGAGCCUGAACCAGCCAAGUAGCGUGCAGGAAGACGGCCCUAUGGGUUGUAAACUGCUUUUAUAGGGGAAUAAAGUGAGCCACGUGUGGUUUUUUGCAUGUACCCUAUGAAUAAGGACCGGCUAAUUCCGUGCCAGCAG
rnacentral:rRNA from 1 species